GGAUGGAUCAUUAGCUCACCCUCACCAUCACCCCCUCAUUCACUCUUCAUCAAGCCAAAACGAGUCGAGCCCCUCAUUGCCAUCACCUCAUCAUCGACGCUGCUGCUCAUCGUCGCUCAUCCUCAUCACCUCAUCAUCGGCGCUGCCGCUCAUCAUCAUCAUCACCAUCAUCCACAUCAUCCUCACUCACCUCAUCCUCACUCACCGUCACAUGCUCCCCCCACAAGGUUGGUGGCAACCUCGACCCCUGGGGUCGAGUGCGUCGCUGGAUUGUGGGGCAUUCCAAAGUACCAAAACCUCGUCAUCACCUUACCAAUCAUCACCUCAACCACUCAUCUCAUCACAACCUUUGACGGUGGACAUCUCGGCUACCCCAUCGAUGAAGACCGCGGCCAAACGCGUUAGCUUAAUGCGAAUCGCAGGAUCCAGCGAAUCAUCGAACCGUUGAACGCACUUUGCGCCUCUUGGCUUACCCCUCGAGGCCCACCCGUUCGAGAGUCGGUCAUAUGGUCACGUGAGGGUGGAGGGGAUUCCGUCCCACUUCCUCCCCUUCCUCCGAGUCCAACCUUGCGCUUCCUUUUUCCUCUCCUUCUCUUUCCUCCUCUUUGCCGCUAUCGUCCUCUCCGUCUUCCCCAUUUGAAGACGAAGGUCCCUCCUUCCCCCUUCUUCGGAAGGGGAUGCAGGUGGUCCCCCUUCGUCUUUCGGUGGGUCGAGGGUGGAUCGAGGGUGGUGGUGGUCGAGAGGUGGGUGGGGUCGAGGGGGGUCGAGAAAGGGGUGUUUGACGGAAGGACUUUGGGGGGAGGGGUCGAGGUCGUGGUGCGUCUCCCGUCCAACGACCCCCUCUCGUGGAAGACGAAGGUCCGCUUCUUCGGAAGGGGUCCUUUUAGAUUCGCGCCCGAAGAGGGCACAGUCUCUGGUCCGUAAAGCCAGCUUGAAACCCAUGUGUCGACCUGCUCCAAGGUUGGUGCGAGAGCUCCUCGUCCUCUCGGGGUCGAGUCGAGCUCCGUCACCCAUGCCCGUCGUCCCCCCUUCGGGGGGGUGGUUGGUGUGUGCCGCGAAGCAGCGAGUGAUCCAGUGUUCCCCGUGAUGACGAAGGGAGACCCCUCCCCGAGCCCUCACGAGUCGAGACGGACCUCUCGUCGUGUCGAGACGUAGUCGAGUCGUUGGCCUUCCGUACCACCAAAAGAGCUGUGUUACCCCUCUCGGACUUCAAUGAAGGAAAAGCAAACGCCCUUAGUCUCGCCUCCUCGGAGGCUUGAGGCGAGGGGCGUUAACUAACCGUCGACCUCGAACGGGUGAGAUAACUCCCUGAACUUAAGCAUAUUACUAAGGGAAGGAACAGAAACCAACUGGGAUUCCCUCAGUAACUGCGAGUGACAAGGGAUUCAGCUCAAGCCGAAUCGUGGCGGGCGUGUCUCGUUCACGAGGUGUGGCUUCGUGGGUCGAGUUCUCCGAGUGGCAGGUGGACCAGAAGUCUCCUGGAACGGAGCACCGUAGCGGGUGAGAGUCCCUUACGGUCCAUCCUGUCGCUCGUCCGAGUCUCUUCUCCAUCGAGUCGGGUUGCUUGGGAAUGCAGCCCUAAGUGGGUGGUGAACUCCAUCCAAAGCUGAAUAGGGGGGGUAGUCCGAUAGCGAACAAGUACCGUGAGGGAAAGAUGAAAAGCACUCUGAAAAGAGAGUGACAAGUCCUCGAAACCGUCAAAGGGGAAGCGAACUCAACCGACCCAACCCGAGGGCUCGGACGAGGGUCCCCGUGAGUCGGUGCGCCGGUGGAGGGGUGACGAGGUGGUGGUCUCGGCCAUCAUCCGUCUCCUUACGCUCGGUGCAUCGGCGCACGGCCGUCCUCUCGUUCUCGAGCGGGUCGACGUGGGUCCAGGCUAGGGGAGCGGACUCGAUCGCGAGGUAGACGGAGGUCACACCUCCGUCGAAUCACGGUCGAUGCCUCCUCACCUCCACUUGGACUUUAUUGAGCCGGUGUGCGUCUCCCUCCGGGGCGAGUGUGCCCGGGGCGAGUGGGUCGUGGUGGUGGAGCGCGGACUCUCGGGUCCGUGCUCCAUCGUCAGCCUCCCACCAACUCCGAAGCACCACUCCGCACACCAACCCAUACGUCGUUCGGACGAUCGAGCUCGACCCGUCUUGAAACACGGACCAAGGAGUCUAACGCACAUGCGAGUGUCAGGGAGCGGAUCCUCUGGCGCGAAACGAAAGUGAAGACCUCCCCGAAAGGGGGAUCGUAGGUGGGAGCCUCGCGACGUCUCGCGGCGUUCGAGGUGCACCAUCGACCGAUCCUCUCUCUUCCCGAGAAGGAUUCGAGUACGAGCAUGCCCGUUAGGACCCGAAAGAUGGUGAUCUAUGCUUGGGCAGGACGAAGCCGGAGGAAACUCCGGUGGAGGUUCGUAGCGAUACUGACGUGCAAAUCGUUCGUCUGACCCGAGUAUAGGGGCGAAAGACUAAUCGAACCAUCUAGUAGCUGGUUCCUUC
rnacentral:misc_RNA from 1 species